GGUAUCUGUGCUUGAUAAAUAAGGUCGCUUUGAUAGAGCGGAAGAUGGGCUAUCUGCCCAGUACCA
rnacentral:tRNA from 1 species